GUUUCCUUAGCUCAGUUGGUUAGAGCACCCGACUCAUAAUCGGUAGGUCCUCAGUUCAAGUCUGAGAGGAAGCACCA
rnacentral:tRNA from 1 species